CGCGGCAAGACGGAAAGACCCCGUGAACCUUUACUAUAGCUUGACACUGAACAUUGAGCCUUGAUGUGUAGGAUAGGUGGGAGGCUUUGAAGUGUGGACGCCAGUCUGCAUGGAGCCGACCUUGAAAUACCACCCUUUAAUGUUUGAUGUUCUAACGUUGGCCCCUAAUCGGGGUUGCGGACAGUGUCUGGUGGGUAGUUUGACUGGGGCGGUCUCCUCCUAAAGAGUAACGGAGGAGCACGAAGGUUGGCUAAUCCUGGUCGGACAUCAGGAGGUUAGUGCAAUGGCAUAAGCCAGCUUGACUGCGAGCGUGACGGCGCGAGCAGGUGCGAAAGCAGGUCAUAGUGAUCCGGUGGUUCUGAAUGGAAGGGCCAUCGCUCAACGGAUAAAAGGUACUCCGGGGAUAACAGGCUGAUACCGCCCAAGAGUUCAUAUCGACGGCGGUGUUUGGCACCUCGAUGUCGGCUCAUCACAUCCUGGGGCUGAAGUAGGUCCCAAGGGUAUGGCUGUUCGCCAUUUAAAGUGGUACGCGAGCUGGGUUUAGAACGUCGUGAGACAGUUCGGUCCCUAUCUGCCGUGGGCGCUGGAGAACUGAGGGGGGCUGCUCCUAGUACGAGAGGACCGGAGUGGACGCAUCACUGGUGUUCGGGUUGUCAUGCCAAUGGCACUGCCCGGUAGCUAAAUGCGGAAGAGAUAAGUGCUGAAAGCAUCUAAGCACGAAACUUGCCCCGAGAUGAGUUCUCCCUGACUCCUUGAGAGUCCUGAAGGAACGUUGAAGACGACGACGUUGAUAGGCCGGGUGUGUAAGCGCAGCGAUGCGUUGAGCUAACCGGUACUAAUGAACCGUGAGGCUUAACCUUACAAC
rnacentral:rRNA from 1 species